UCCCUGGUAGCCCAGAGGUUAAGACUUUGCCUUUGAAUGCAGGGGGUCCGGGUUCGAUCCCUGGCCAGGGAA
rnacentral:tRNA from 1 species